rnacentral:rRNA from 1 species
GAUGAACGCUGGCGGCGUGCUUAACACAUGCAAGUCGAACGGUGAAGCAGGAGCUUGCUCUUGUGGAUCAGUGGCGAACGGGUGAGUAACACGUGGGCAACCUGCCCCUGACUCUGGGAUAAGCGCUGGAAACGGCGUCUAAUACUGGAUAUGUGAUGUGACCGCAUGGUCUGCAUCUGGAAAGAAUUUCGGUUGGGGAUGGGCUCGCGGCCUAUCAGCUUGUUGGUGAGGUAAUGGCUCACCAAGGCGUCGACGGGUAGCCGGCCUGAGCGGGUGACCGGCCACACUGGGACUGUGACACGGCCCAGACUCCUACGGGAGGCAGCAGUGGGGAAUAUUGCACAAUGGGCGGAAGCCUGAUGCAGCAACGCCGCGUGAGGGAUGACGGCCUUCGGGUUGUAAACCUCUUUUAGCAGGGAAGAAGCGAAAGUGACGGUACCUGCAGAAAAAGCACCGGCUAACUACGUGCCAGCCGCCGCGGUAA